rnacentral:rRNA from 1 species
AUUGAACGCUGGCGGCAGGCCUAACACAUGCAAGUCGAACGAGUGGCGGACGGGUGAGCUAUGUCUGGGAAACUGCCUGAUGGAGGGGGAUAACUACGGGAAACGGUAGCUAAAAGCGCAUACCAUCGGAUGUGCCCUGGUGGGAUUAGCUAGUCGGUGGGGUAAAGGCUCACCAAGGCGUCGAUCCCUAGCUGGUCUGAGAGGAUGACCGGCCACACUGGAACUGAGACACGGUCCAGACUCCUACGGGAGGCAGCAGUGGGGAAUAUUGGACAAUGGGCGCAAGCCUGAUGCAGCAAUGCCGCGUGUAUGAAGAAGGCCUUCGGGUUGUAAAGCACUUUCAGCGGGGAGGCGUUACCCACAGAGGAAGCACCGGCUAACUCCGUGCCAGCAGCCGCGGUAAUUC